rnacentral:rRNA from 1 species
GAUGAACGCUGGCGGCGUGCUUAACACAUGCAAGUCGAACGAACCUUCGGGUUAGUGGCGGACGGGUGAGUAGCGCGUGAGAAUCUGCCCUCAGGAGGGGGAUAACGGUUGGAAACGACCGCUAAUACCCCAUAUGCCGAUAGGUGAAAUGAAUUUCGCCUGAGGAUGAGCUCGCGUCUGAUUAGCUUGUUGGUGAGGUAAUGGCUCACCAAGGCUUCGAUCAGUAGCUGGUCUGAGAGGAUGAUCAGCCACACUGGGACUGAGACACGGCCCAGACUCCUACAGGAGGCAGCAGUGGGGAAUUUUCCGCAAUGGGCGAAAGCCUGACGGAGCAACGCCGCGUGAGGGACGAAGGCCUCUGGGCUGUAAACCUCUUUUCUCAAGGAAGAAGAUAUGACGGUACUUGAGGAAUAAGCCACGGCUAAUUCCGUGCCAGCAGCCGCGGUAAUACGGGAGUGGCAAGCGUUAUCCGGAAUUAUUGGGCGUAAAGCGUCCGCAGGCGGCCAGUCGAGUCUGCUGUUAAAGCGUGGAGCUUAACUCCAUUAUGGCAGUGGAAACUGAUCGGCUUGAGUAUGGUAGGGGCAGAGGGAAUUCCCGGUGUAGCGGUGAAAUGCGUAGAUAUCGGGAAGAACACCAGUGGCGAAGGCGCUCUGCUGGGCCAUUACUGACGCUCAUGGACGAAAGCCAGGGGAGCGAAAGGGAUUAGAUACCCCUGUAGUCCUGGCCGUAAACGAUGAACACUAGGUGUCGGGGGAAUCGACCCCNUUCGGUGUCGUAGCUAACGCGUUAAGUGUUCCGCCUGGGGAGUACGCACGCAAGUGUGAAACUCAAAGGAAUUGACGGGGGCCCGCACAAGCGGUGGAGUAUGUGGUUUAAUUCGAUGCAACGCGAAGAACCUUACCAGGGUUUGACAUCCUGAGAACCUCUUAGAAAUUUGAGGGUGCCUUCGGGAAUUCAGUGACAGGUGGUGCAUGGCUGUCGUCAGCUCGUGUCGUGAGAUGUUGGGUUAAGUCCCGCAACGAGCGCAACCCACGUUUUUAGUUGCCAGCAUUUAGUUGGGCACUCUAGAAAGACCGCCGGUGAUAAACCGGAGGAAGGUGUGGAUGACGUCAAGUCAUCAUGCCCCUUACACCCUGGGCUACACACGUACUACAAUGCUACGGACAAAGGGCAGCAAACUCGCGAGAGCUAGCAAAUCCCAUAAACCGUGGCUCAGUUCAGAUCGUAGGCUGCAACUCGCCUACGUGAAGUAGGAAUCGCUAGUAAUCGCAGGUCAGCAUACUGCGGUGAAUACGUUCCCGGGCCUUGUACACACCGCCCGUC